UCGUUCUCCCUCUAUAGGAUUUUCAGCAGUUCCAAGAGUGACUAUGAUGUGAGUGGGGAAAGAGCUGUUGUUUGAAGUUUCACUUUCAGUUUAUGGGUUAGCUCAUGAAUUUCCCAGAAGCUGCCUGGGAUCCAGUUGCUGCCAAAUCUCAAAAUCCAGGCAGGAAGCACAGAAGUAGUUAAACGGUUGCUUAAAUGAAAAAGAUGGUUCUGCUCUCCAGAACACAAACCAGAAAUAAAACCUAUAGUCUUCUAUACCUUUUAUACCUGGAAGCCUCCAUGGACAGAUACUAGUUCAACUGCCUCAAUGAUAUAAGAGGGAAAUGAGGCUCUGAGACCCACAGCUAGGAAAUGGGUAGAACCAGACACGGAGUUUAGAUCUUGGAUUCUUAGAUCUCCAAUUCUCACGUUCUUGCUAAGACACCAAGCCUGACAUUGUUGGAGAACUCCUAAAGCAGAGAGCCAGGAAUGGUUAAUUCUCGGAUGACUACUGUUAAAAGAUAAACAGGAUUAAAAAAAAAGGAACAUCAAAAAACAGCUGCUCAGAUUCAUGUCAUCACAGGCUUAUCGACCAGAAUCCAGAAGACCUAGCUAAAAGCUGUGAAAAGGGUGAAGACCUAAAUAGGCGAGGAUCUAUUUGAAGUCCCAUGCCCCCCUCGCCAGUUGUACAUGUUGGUCUAUAUUUAAAUUUAUUCUUGUGUCUAUUACAAGUCAGAUGACAGUAAAUGCCUAUCAGAUCCAACAGGAAAGGGAAGAGAUGAUCUUCAGAAACUCCAUUUGGGGAGAAAAACAAACAACCUGUUCCUGACCAAGAUGUCACUGAGAGUUGACUGGGUCGAGCCUCACCAACAUGGGCGUGGCCAAGGACAAAUGAGACAGGGAAGCAGGAGAAGGACUUGUCUUUCAAGACCCACAGCUAACAACGGAAAGGAGUACUUGCCCUUGAGACUGCUCUAAAAACAACAGGAAGAAAAUUAACCAGGAAGAGGACAUUUUUAAAACACCACAGGUAAACCUCAGGCUGCUCAGUCCUGUCAAUAUUAGAAGUGGCCAAAUUUGGUUAAGUCAGAGAUUCAGGGUCAAAAAGGAUAAGCGAAAUUGGCAAAACACAAAGAAAGGUUGCUGAAGCACACCGAUGAUAUGUAUGUUACAUAGCACGUGACGUGGAGUUGACUCACAAUUACUCUAAAGUGGCCCAUUAGGUUUAGUAACAAUAAUGAUUAUAAUAUAUACCAAUGUUAUUUUUGAACGCCAAAAUCAUUGGCUCUAUAUUUUGAAAAAUUGUGAUAUUCCUAUUCCCUUUUUUGUUCUUCCUGUGUCUCCUGCUCUUCCUCCAAUCAUAUGGACUUGUUACAAGAGCAUUUCCUGCAUGUGGUGCAGAGACUGUCACGAUUGGGCAAUGCGCAGGGUGGAAGGUUAUAGCACUUACUGCAGCAUCCCCUUAGAGGCGCUCCUUAGUCAACCAACCACUUCUCAGUCGUCCCUUAACAUGGAAACACAAUAUUUUCAUAUUUUUCAGUGGAGAGGUGGCCUGUGCCAGCCAGGCAUCAGCCAUCAUGCAUCAGCAUCCUGGGAACAUGUUCCCAAUAAACCAGGCAGCCAAGACAAGAACAAUGAUUUUUUUUUUUUCAGUAGAUCUGUUUCACUGUUGCUCUAAAAAAGAGAUGUAGGCAUGUCCUAUCUGAUUUGUGUUGCCAUUGAAAAUCACCCUGGAGUAAACAGGACCGUAUAAGAAAUGACUGGCAUUUUAUAAAGAUCUUUUACUGUCUCUGACAACUCCUGAAGGGGAUAAUUUUUCUGAUUAAUUAAAAAAAGAAUAAGAAAAGAAGACCACUAUCCUGUCUCAAGCCAGCUUCAAGAGCAUUCACUCAGGAAGCUAUCAUAUUGUACAUUAAAAAAAAAUUGAAAAAGUUUGCCUAGCUCAUGGUAAGUAUAUGUAGCUUGACUAAUCCAAGUGGAAACUGCAAUAAAUGAAACUUAAUACUAAAAUAUUUGAUCAUCUGCCUGUGACUGAGGAAGAGGUGACUCUUUACAAAAUUACCCUGUAGCCCUUAAUAACAGGCUUGUAAAAUCACUUAGCAACCAACUUCCUUUUUUCCCCAAUGGGGCAUAAUUAGACCGUGUCCUGGUUCACAAAGGUUUGUUUUUAAAAUUCAGAACCUUGUUUAGGUAUUAAAACACAGACAGUUAUUAGAUAUGCAGAUGAUGAAGAUGAUAUAAUAAAUAUAUAAAUAACAUUUGGCCAAGAUAUGGAAAGGACUUAUUAUUUCUUACCGGACUUUUCCUCUAAAAGCGUAGGCAUGGGGAGGAAAAAUAAAGAGAAAAUGAAAGAGGUGAAGGGUAUAUUCAAGAAGAUACAACUCAAGUCUCGAAUAACCUUACUAAAAGCAACUCUCCAAGGCAUUGCUCUUAUUAAUGCUUCCUAUGAGUGUCUGAUACAGUCAUUCCCAGGCUGCCGGUUCACACCACCCCAAAAGAUGCCAUGUUGCCGUAUUGAUUUAUUGAUUAUUUUGAGCUGCAGGCACUUGAAAACAGCAAAUUCUGGAAGAGGCUUUCUAUGAACUCCUCUAAUUUGCCCAAAGGGUAAAUCUUCCAAAAGGAAUUCAGUUGUCUUAGGAGUUUCGUCAACCAGG